CCACCUCUACAUAAUGGUCAAAACAACUUUUUGUGUCACAGAAAUAAGUACGAGGCCCUUUCUUCUUCGUUAGACCCUCAACAAUCUCUUCCUCAUUGUAAACAACAUUAACAGCAGCAGAACCACCAUAAUCUCCAGCUAGUAAUGGUGACCAGAAGUCCUUAUCGUAACCUCUAGGCCUCACUGAAAUCUCGUCCACUUCAAAGUUCCCUUCUUCAUCUGUUGCAAAGCUAAAACCACUCUCAUCAUCGCCUAAGCUAGUCCCUCCUUUACCACCCUCACUCAUUAUUGUCUCCUCUAAUUUCUCCAC
rnacentral:lncRNA from 1 species